CCCUUAGUUAUCCUAGGUCGCACGCGCCAUACAAUGUGGCGCACAACGAGUCUCCUUGGCCGACAGGAUGUCCCGCGAGCGAUCGGCGACGCAGCCAGCUCGGUCUUCGGGCAGACUCGGUGAGAGUGGCCCGUCCUCCUGAGAGGGCGAUCGUCGAUGCCUCGGGAUUCUGGGCAAUCUGGCAGAGCGCUACGUGACUGGGCUAGACUUUUGUAAUUUUUGGUCUUGAACGAGGAAUGCCUAGUAAUCGCAGGUCAGCAUCCUGCGAUGAUUCGGUCCCUGCCCUUUGGACACACCGCCCGUCGCUCCAUCCGUGGCAUGCGCCGGUGAAGAGGGGGAGGCAGCGUCGGCCGUGUAACAGCGGAUCGUACGUGGAACCCCUCUGAACCUUCGCACGUAGAGGAAGGAGAAGUCGUAACA
rnacentral:rRNA from 1 species